rnacentral:sRNA from 1 species
GCACACACACACACACACACACACCCCCCAACACACACUCCCUGUCCCCUUUCUCCACCCUGCAAGCUAGUUGCAUUUAGCUCACAGAGCCUGGGCUGCGACUUGAAAGAGUUUAGGCAGCAACAGAGUGACCCUGGGGGUGCUCUUGACCGACAGCCGCACCCCCGGCGUCUAGGACCUCCGAGCAGGGAUGCAUCUGGAGGUCUAGGGAAGCACUUCCACCCCCUCCUCUCCUCAACCCUGGCAGGAUGGCUACUGCUGCUUCAAGACAGUGACGUUUCUCUCCGGUCAGCUGUCAGGAGCGCUGGUGAGCUUCCUACUGUGCCACAAGGUGCGGGUGCUGGAGACACAGCUGAGCCUGGAAAUGAGAGUGGGCAUCGCCGUGGUCAUCAUGACUCCUCUGCGGCGUGGUCACCAUGUUGGUUCACUGUGUUGGGCUCUUAUUGACUGGUCUCCUGCUAGGCCUGACCUUGGGUGCCGGAGCCCUGCUGGCUUCUGAGCCUAUCUACCAACCACCUUCAGCCUGGGUGCCAGCUGGGGGCUGGUGGGGCUGGCGCUGCUGGGAGCCCUGCUCACACUUCGGUGGCCACGUCCAUUCACAGUGCUGGGCACAACCCUACUGGGUUCUGCAGUGCUUGUGGCCUGUGUUGACUACUUCCUGGAGGGGCUGGCACUGGGGAGUUGGCUGGGCCAACGCCUGCAGACACUUCCAGCCUUGCCUUCUCUCUGCUGAUAUAGCUGGGUCUUACUGGGGAUCUGGCCAGCCUUGGGGGCCCUUGGAGCCCUGGCCCAGUGGAAGCUCGUGCCUGAGGAACAUGGAGGCCACGCUAAUGAGUUACUUCCAGAGUCUUCAAGAGUGCCAACUGGGACCAGGACCCCAGACCACAGCCCCCCACACCGUCCUGGACCUGGAUUCUGACUGUGGUUCCACUGUACCCCUCACCUUAAUCUCUGGUUCUAACCAGACCUGAGCCUAGACUUCCACUUUUUCCCUUACCCCUGUGAGGGCCUGGGAACACUAGGUGGGCAGGGUUUGAGCCCACAGGACCUGCACACAAACUUCCCCACCUCUUGGACUUGGGGACAGGAUCUGUGCCUCAACCCAGACCAGCUUUGUAGGGAUAUGUUCCAAGAACAGAGAAGAGUCUUAUGGGGAAGGGGGAGGAAGGGAAGUAUGAAUAUUUACCUCUGACCAAUAAUAGAGGUGCCCUGGUCCCCAAAGAAAUUGACUCCCGAAUUCCCUCCAAGCCUUACCCAUAUAGCUUUUGUUUGUUUGUUUUGAGACAAGGUCUUGUUCUGUCCAGUGCCGUGGCAUGACCACAGCUCAUGACAACUUUGAUUUCCCCGGCCCAAGCGAGCCUCUCAUUCAGCCUCCCGAGUGGCUGGGACCACAGACGCCACACACAGCUAAUUUUUAUUUAUUCGUUUUUAUUUUUUUGCAGAGACAGGGUCUCCCAGUGUUGCCCAAGCUGGUCUUGAACUCCUGGGCUCAAGUGAUCCUCCUGCUUCAGCCUCCCAAAGUGCUAGGAUUAUAGCCACCGCACCUCGUCUUGAAAUAGCCUUUUAAAUAUUCACCUCAGCUUGCCUCACAGUGGUAAAAAUAAGCAUUUUUUUGUUUUGUAGGAUCAGGGAGCUUCCAAGGCAUUUGAUACCUUUUUGAUGGGAAGAAGGGCUCUGAGGAGCUCCAAGAUACCCCAACCUCCAGGCCCUUCAUUAGGGGGUAGUUGGGUUUCUGUUUGGCCUUUCCCCCUGGGCCCCAUAGGCUUAAACUACCCCCACCCCCACCUCCGCCUCCUACCUCAGCUGGGAGCACUGUCUUCCAUGGGGCUUCCACUUCUCUCCUCAACCUGGGGAAGACCACAGGGCAGUGCCUGCCUCAGGACCUGCCUUCCCCAAAAGCUGGCUUCUUGCUCCAAGGAGAGAGCAUUGGCCCACCUGCCAGAGUCUUGCCUUUUGCCCAAAGGAGCCUGGUCUUCAGGGCUGCAUAGGAUGCAAGUGCCUUCUCUGCUUCUCACCGUGGGUGGCACUAAUUUCCUCCUUAACCAGAACUUUGUUCCAGCCACUGACCCAUUCUAACUCUUCCCCCUCUGACUCUCCUGCGCAAGGUCUGUUCCUGGUUUCCCAGAUGCAUAAAGGAAGACAUAUCCCUCCCCUGGGCAGCAAGGCUACAAUGGGAGGGAGGGAGAACAUGGGAGCAUGUGAAUAAAAUGGCAUUAAAUACUGAA